rnacentral:rRNA from 1 species
CCUACGGGAUGCUGCAGUGAGGAAUAUUGGUCAAUGGGCGCGAGCCUGAACCAGCCAAGUAGCGUGAAGGAUUACUGCCCUACGGGUUGUAAACUUCUUUUAUAAAGGAAUAAAGUGAGGCACGUGUGCCUUUUUGUAUGGACUUUAUGGAUAAGGAUCGGCUAACUCCGUUCCAGCAGCCGCGGUGAUCCGGGGGAUCCGAGCGUUAUCCGGAUUUAUUGGGUUUAAAGGGAGCGUAGAUGGGUUGUUAAGUCAGUUGUGAAAGUUUGCGGCUUAAACGUAAAAUUGCAAUUGAUACUGGCAGUCUUGAGUUCAGGUGAGGUAGGCGGAAUUCGUGGUGUAGCGGUGAAAUGCUUAGAUAUCACGAAGAACUCCGAUUGCGAAGGCAGCUUACUAAACUGCCACUGACAUUGAUGCUCGAAAGUGUGGGUAUCAAACAGGAUUAGAUACCCCUGUAGUC